UAGGGAAAGAGGAGUAACCUCCCUCAUUUCACGUGGCCAACAAAGAAGAAGGGAUUAAAUCCCUAAUUCAUUCUCCUCCCUCGACAGCAGCCAUGGAGGAAAUUAAUCAAGCUGGAGCGGCGAGGGGAACUCAGUGGUGAGCACCAGGGGUCUUCUUCUCCAGCGACGGCGGUGGCGAAGUCAAACCGUCGGAAUCAAGCUCCCACCAAAGGAGGAGUUAGACACGUCACUUCGUCGUGGGCGAUUCGUGAGGGCUAUUCGAUGUGGCCUCCUACCCGAAGCAUCCUUGACUCGUGCAGAUUCUCCUUCUCCAGCGGUGGCCAAAAGGUUAAUUGUGGGUCGACCUCGUACCUAGAUUCCAUUCUCGGUUGAGAAGGAAACGACUUGGGGCUUUGAUGCUUGAGACCAAUGAGAACUAAGCAGAUUCGGUGAAAGAGAAUAGGUUAUGUCUGCUGAUCCCAUGAGUGUUUAUUACAUGAUUGAUUGGGAAUAAUUGUCACUUAUGCUGAAUAUGUAACCGAAACAAUAUUGCACUUUUUUAUUGCCAUGUUUGCUUAUGCAUAAUUAAUAGUUAUUUCUUCCUUGGUGGACUUGAUACAGUUAUGGGUUUAAAUGAGUUAUAAAGAUGGAAAACAAGGAUUAUUUUAC